rnacentral:rRNA from 1 species
GACAGAGGUGCCGAGCGUUAGGCGGAAUCACUGGGCUUAAAGCGUGUGUAGGCGGACCGUUAAGUACCUUGUGAAAUCCCCCGGCUCAACCGGGGAACGGCUGGGUAUACUGGCGGUCUUGAGCCAUCCAGGGGCAGUCGGAACAGACGGUGGAGCGGUGAAAUGCGUAGAUAUCGGCUGGAACGCCGAAGGUGAAAACAGACUGCUGGGGAUGCGCUGACGCUGAGACACGAAAGCCAGGGGAGCGAACGGG